AAGGUACUUCCUCCGUUCGGAAUUACUUGUCAUAGAUAUGGAUGUAUCUAAAAUUAAAAUACAUCUAGAUACAUCCAUUUCUGCGACAAGUAAUUCCGAACGGAGGAAGUACAUA
rnacentral:pre_miRNA from 1 species